rnacentral:rRNA from 1 species
CUACGGGGCGCUCCAGUGAGGAAUAUUGCACAAUGGGGGGAACCCUGAUGCAGCAACGCCGCGUGGAGGAUGAUGCAUUUCGGUGUGUAAACUCCUUUUAUAUGUCAAGAAAAUGACGGUAGCAUAUGAAUAAGCACCGGCUAACUCCGUGCCAGCAGCCGCGGUAAUACUGAGGGUGCAAGCGUUACUCGGAAUCACUGGGCGUAAAGGACGCGUAGGCGGGUUGGAAAGUCAGGUGUGAAAUCCUACAGCUUAACUGUAGAACUGCACUUGAAACUUCUAAUCUAGAGUAUGGGAGGGGGAGAUGGAAUUAGUGGUGUAGGGGUAAAAUCCGUAGAUAUCACUAGGAAUACCUAAAGCGAAGGCGAUCUCCUGGAACAUUACUGACGCUAAGGCGUGAAAGCGUGGGGAGCAAACAGGAUUAGAUACCCUCGUAGUC